AGUCUUCAGGGCGGGGUGCAAGUCCCCACCGGCGGUACAGCCCGCGAGCAGCUUUUAAAAGCUGCAUGAUCCGGUGUGAUUCCGGAGCCGACAGUAUAGUCUGGAUGGAAGGAGAUG
rnacentral:ncRNA from 1 species